rnacentral:lncRNA from 1 species
CCUAAUUCCACACGCCUGCGUUCCCUUUCUACUGCCGCAUUAUUUUUACCCAUAUUGUCCGAUUUAGCGCUCCUUCUAAAACAACAUGCCAAUGGCGUGUCUGGCUGCUGCUACCAGAAUCUUAGCCCGUGCUGUCACCAUGUAGUUACCAGAAAAUAAAACAAAAAAAAAAGAAAAGAAAAGGGAGAAAAUACACAACACGAUGAAGAAAGACACCCAGAGGCAAGACUGAGCAAGAACGCUUUGUCAGGAGGCCAGAAUCCAAAUCCUUCCUCCUCUUUGGCUUCAUGGCUUGUUUCCAGUCACCUUAAGACUCAGGGGAAAAAGGCAGAGAUGAAAGAUGAACACACAUUCCCAGCCAGGACAAAAACCUGCUUGCUUUCCUUGAAAUGAGUUGGAGAGGGAGAUAUGAAACCAAGUCUCAGAAAGCAACAUGAACCUGGGAUGGCAGAUCAUAGAGGUGCAGAGCAAACACAGCAUUCCUCAGCAGUCUUGGCAGUUGGCGUUGUUUGCACUUCCACUAGAAGAGCCUGACAGGUGGCAAACUUAUUAGAUAAAUAAUCAAAGAACAGCAGAGGCCAGCACAGCUUUCAUCUUUUAACUUUCAGAUGGGUGUCCCAGUUUCAGCAGGAGAGGCACAAAGGUGGCUGGACCUGCCCUCUGUGACCCUUAAAAAUGGUUUUCUUCCGGUGUUGCUGAUCACCUGGUACCUGCUGAUCCCAGCUGCCUGCUGGGAGAGGAGAGUACAGCUGAGUCACAAAGGACCUCAAGGACUCUUGAGCUCUGGUGUCUCAUUUCUGGAUGAAGCAAUUAGCUGCUCGAACUGAAAACACAUACUGGUCUCCCAGGCCUGCUAGACUUCCACUUGGCAGCAUGGAUUCUAAAGGAGCAACAGAGAAGAGGC